rnacentral:rRNA from 1 species
CGAAGGCUCCAAAGGAAGUCACGGCUAACUCUGUGCCAGCAGCCGCGGUAAUACAGAGGUGGCAAGCGUUGUUCGGAAUUAUUGGGCGUAAAGAGCACGUAGGUGGGUUUGUAAGUCAGAUGUGAAAGCCUCCUGUUCAACGGGAGAAUUGCAUCUGAAACUACUGAUCUUGAGUAUAGGAGGGGAGAAUGGAACUUCUGGUGGAGCGGUGAAAUGCGUAGAUAUCAGAAGGAACGCCGGCGGCGAAAGCGAUUCUCUGGCCUAUUACUGACACUCAGUGUGCGAAAGCUAGGGGAGCAAACGGGAUUAGAUACCCCGGUAGUCCUAGCCGUAAA